GAUGAACGCUGGCGGCGAGCCUAAUACAUGCAAGUAGAACGCUGAAGGAAGGAGCUUGCUCUUUCCGGAUGAGUUGCGAACGGGUGAGUAACGCGUAGGUAACCUGCCUGGUAGCGGGGGAUAACUAUUGGAAACGAUAGCUAAUACCGCAUAACAGUAGAUGUUGCAUGAUAUCUACUUAAAAGGUGCAAUUGCACCACUACCAGAUGGACCUGCGUUGUAUUAGCUAGUUGGUGAGGUAACGGCUCACCAAGGCGACGAUACAUAGCCGACCUGAGAGGGUGAUCGGCCACACUGGGACUGAGACACGGCCCAGACUCCUACGGGAGGCAGCAGUAGGGAAUCUUCGGCAAUGGACGGAAGUCUGACCGAGCAACGCCGCGUGAGUGAAGAAGGUUUUCGGAUCGUAAAGCUCUGUUGUAAGAGAAGAACGAGUGUGAGAGUGGAAAGUUCACACUGUGACGGUAUCUUACCAGAAAGGGACGGCUAACUACGUG
rnacentral:rRNA from 1 species